rnacentral:rRNA from 1 species
AUUGAACGCUGGCGGCAGGCCUAACACAUGCAAGUCGAACGAGUGGCGGACGGGUGAGUAAUGUCUGGGAAACUGCCUGAUGGAGGGGGCUAACUACUGGAAACGGUAGCUAAUACCGCAUACCAUCAGAUGUGCCCACAGGGGAUGAGCUAGUAGGUGGGGUAACGGCUCACCUAGGCGACGAUCCCUACCUGGUCUGAGAGGAUGACCAGCCACACUGGAACGUGGACACGGUCCAGACUCCUACGGGAGGCAGCAGUGGGGAAUAUUGCACAAUGGUCGCAAGCCGUAUGCAGCCAUGCCGCGUGUGUGAAGAAGUCCUUGGGGUUGUAAAGCACUUUCAGCGGGGAGGCGUUACCCGCAGAAGAAGGACCGGCUAACUCCGUGCCAGCAGCCGCGGUAAUAC